rnacentral:rRNA from 1 species
AUACGGAGGAUCCGAGCGUUAUCCGGAUUUAUUGGGUUUAAAGGGUGCGCAGGCGGCCAUUUAAGUCAGCGGUUAAAUCGUGGGGCUCAACCCCAUUCUGCCGUUGAUACUGGGUGGCUUGAUUGCGGUCGAGGUUGGCGGAAUUAGUUGUGUAGCGGUGAAAUGCAUAGAUAUGACGAAGAACACCGAUUGCGUAGGAAGCUGACCAGACCGCAAAUGACGCUCAUGCACGAAAGUGCGGGGAUCGAACAGGAUUAGAUACCCUGGUAGUCCGCACAGUAAACGAUGAAUACUUGUUUUCGGCGAUAUAAUGUCGGAGGCAAAGCGAAAGCGAUAAGUAUUCCACCUGGGGAGUACGCCGGCAACGGUGAAACUCAAAGGAAUUGGCGGGG